rnacentral:rRNA from 1 species
AGAAUCAACGCUGGCGGCGUGCCUAACACAUGCAAGUCGAACGAGAAAGUGGAGCAAUCCAUGAGUAAAGUGGCGCACGGGUGAGUAACACGUGACUAACCUACCCUGGAGUGGGGGAUAACUGAGGGAAACCUUAGCUAAUACCGCAUAACACCUACGGGUCAAAGGAGCAAUUCGCUUUAGGAGGGGGUCGCGGCAGAUUAGUUAGUUGGCGGGGUAAUGGCCCACCAAGACGGUGAUCUGUAUCCGGCCUGAGAGGGCGCACGGACACACUGGAACUGAAACACGGUCCAGACUCCUACGGGAGGCAGCAGUGGGGAAUUUUGCGCAAUGGGGGAAACCCUGACGCAGCAACGCCGCGUGGAGGAUGAAGUCUCUUGGGACGUAAACUCCUUUCGAUUGGGAAGAUAAUGACGGUACCAAUAGAAGAAGCCCCGGCUAACUUCGCGCCAGCAGCCGC